rnacentral:ncRNA from 2 species
AUAUGGUAACAGGGGAGCUGGAACUUACUGGCUGAGAGGGGCAAACUGCCCGACCCUUAACCUGAUCUGGGUAAUGCCAGCGUAGGGAGGAUAGGAGAACAAGUAC